rnacentral:rRNA from 1 species
ACGCUCGACACCUACGGAGGCAGCAGUUGGGAAUAUUGGACAAUGGAGGAAACUCUGAUCCAGUGACGCCGCGUGAAGGAAGAAGGUCUUCGGAUUGUAAACUUAUUUUGUCAGGGAAGAAAAAUGACUGUACCUGAAGAAAAAGCACCGGCUAACUACGUCNNNGCGCCGGUAGUAUNGNGGCGNGCGAGAG